rnacentral:rRNA from 1 species
CCUACGGGAGGCAGCAGUGGGGAAUAUUGGGCAAUGGGCGCAAGCCUGACCCAGCAACGCCGCGUGAAGGAAGAAGGCAUUCGGGUUGUAAACUUCUUUUCUCAGGGACGAAGAAAGUGACGGUACCUGAGGAAUAAGCCACGGCUAACUACGUGCCAGCAGCCGCGGUAAUACGAAGGUGGCAAGCGUUAUCCGGAUUUACUGGGUGUAAAGGGCGUGUAGCCGGGAAGGCAAGUCAGAUGUGAAAUCUGGAGGCUCAACCUCCAAAUUGCAUUUGAAACUGUUUGUCUUGAGUACUGGAGAGGCAGACGGAAUUCCUUGUGUAGCGGUGAAAUGCGUAGAUAUAAGGAGGAACACCAGUGGCGAAGGCGGUCUGCUGGACAGCAACUGACGGUGAGGCGCGAAAGCGUGGGGAGCAAACAGGAUUAGAUACCCCUGUAGUC